rnacentral:rRNA from 1 species
UACGGAGGGGGCGAGCGUUAUUCGGAAUUAUUGGGCGUAAAGGGCGCGUAGGCGGCUUGAUGUGUCAAAGGUGAAAUCCCUCGGCUCAACUGAGGAACUGCCUUUGAAACUGUCUGGCUUGAGGCCGGGAGAGGGUAGCGGAAUUCCCAGUGUAGCGGUGAAAUGCGUAGAUAUCUGGAGGAAUACCGGUGGCGAAGGCGGCAUCCUGGACCGACAUUGACGCUGAGGAGCGAAAGCUAGGGGAGCAAACGGG